rnacentral:rRNA from 1 species
AGAACGAACGCUGGCGGCAGGCUUAACACAUGCAAGUCGAGCGCUGUAGCAAUACAGAGCGGCGCACGGGUGAGUAACACGUGGGAACAUGCCUUUCGGUUCGGAAUAACUCAGGGAAACUUGUGCUAAUACCGGAUACGCCCUUACGGGGAAAGAUUUAUUGCCGAAAGAGUGGCCCGCGUUGGAUUAGCUAGUUGGCGGGGUAAAAGCCCACCAAGGCGACGAUCCAUAGCUGGUCUGAGAGGACGACCAGCCACACUGGGACUGAGACACGGCCCAGACUCCUACGGGAGGCAGCAGUGGGGAAUCUUGGACAAUGGGGGAAACCCUGAUCCAGCCAUGCCGCGUGAGUGAUGAAGGCCCUAGGGUUGUAAAACUCUUUCGGCGGGACGAUAAUGACGGUACCCGCAGAAGAAGCUCCGGCUAACUUCGUGCCAGCAGCCGC